GUUUAGCGAUGGCAUUUCUCGGCCGGAGCCUCUCUCGCAUACACAUUUCUCGACGGAGCUCUCAUCGCAGCAGCAGAAACUAAAGAAAUGGCUGAGGUUGCCAAGAGUGGUGUGGCGGUGCCCGAGUCUGUGUUGAAGAAGCAGAAGAGGGCCGAAGAGUGGGCCCUGCAAAGGCAAAAGAGGUCGAAGAGUCGAAGAAGAAGAAAGUCGAGACCAGGAAAUUGAUCUGCAAGAAAGCUAGGGAUUAUGCUCAGGAGUAUGAGAAUCAGGAUAAGGAGUUGAUUCAGUUGAAGCGUGAAGCGAGAUUGAAGGGUGGGUUUUACGUCAGCCCAGAAGCUAAGCUAUUGUUCAUCGUCCGAAUUCGUGGUAUCAAUGCUAUGCACCCGACUACCAAGAAAAUCUUGCAGCUUUUGAGAUUGCGUCAGAUCUUUAACGGUGUCUUUUUGAAAGUUAACAAAGCCACCAUGAACAUGCUGCACAGAGUCGAGCCUUAUGUUACUUACGGAUACCCGAACCUUAAGAGUGUCCGAGAGUUGAUUUACAAACGAGGGUAUGGAAAACUGAACAAGCAGAGAAUUCCCUUGACCGACAAUGCACUAGUUGACCAGGCAUUGGGCAAGUUUGGAAUAAUAUGCAUGGAAGAUUUGAUUCACGAAAUCUUGACUGUGGGCCCACAUUUCAAGGAGGCUAACAACUUCUUGUGGCCCUUCCAACUGAAGGCACCGUUGGGUGGUUUGAAGAAGAAGAGGAAUCACUAUGUUGAAGGCGGUGAUGCUGGUAAUCGCGAAGACUUCAUUAACGAACUAAUUAGGAGGAUGAACUAAGUAGUUCGUGCAAAUUUAAUCUCGUAUCUCUCGUAAAACCUUUAUAUCUUAUUAUUUUCUUGGAGUAUUUAAGUUGUUAGAACCAAAGUUUUGUGCUUGAAUUAUUUUCUUCGAAUAUUUAAUGAGUACCUUCACAUUGAAUCGAACUUGGUUUUCGACCUCUUUUUUUCGACCUCUUUUAAUGGAUGUGUAUGAUUUCUGCAUUGCUUA